rnacentral:misc_RNA from 1 species
GAUGAAGAACGUAGCGAAAUGCGAUAAGUAAUGUGAAUUGCAGAAUUCAGUGAAUCAUCGAAUCUUUGAACGCACAUUGCGCCCGCCAGUAUUCUGGCGGGCAUGCCUGUCCGAGCGUCAUUUCAACCAUCAAGCCCCGGGCUUGUGUUGGGGACCUGCGUCCGACGCAGGCCCUGAAAACCAGUGGCGGGCUCGCUGUCCACACCGAGCGUAGUAACUAACCUCGCUAUGGAGUGGCGCGGGCGCCUGCCGUAAAACCCCCAAUUUCACAAGGUUGACCUCGGAUCAGGUAGGACUACCCGCUGAACUUAAGCAUAUCAAUAAGCGGAGGA